CGUAGGGUGCGAGCGUUAAUCGGAAUUACUGGGCGUAAAGUGUGCGCAGGUGGCCGCGCAUGUCGAGUGUGAAAUCCCCGGGCUUAACUUGGGAAUUGCGCUCGAAACUACGUGGCUGGAGUGUGGCAGAGGGAGGUGGAAUUCCACGUGUAGCGGUGAAAUGCGUAGAGAUGUGGAGGAACACCAAUGGCGAAGGCAGCCUCCUGGGCCAACACUGACACUCAUGCACGAAAGCGUGGGGAGCAAACAGGAUUAGAUACCCUGGUAGUCCACGCCCUAAACGAUGAUGACUAGUUGUUGGGGGAGUUAAAUCCCUUAGUAACGCAGCUAACGCGCGAAGUCAUCCGCCUGGGGAGUACGGUCGCAAGAUUA
rnacentral:rRNA from 1 species